rnacentral:lncRNA from 1 species
CUGCCUCGAUGACUUGCAAGCAACUCAUUGUGCUUUGAUGCCGGACUAUCCAAAUUUUUAAUUCAGUGACAGAGGAUUUCUGGGUACAGUCAAAUACUUGUGAAGUCUGAGUGCGAGUCAAGAUGGGAUUGAUCGCUAUAAGUAAAAUUGGAGAUGAUGCAUCACUGUGUUUCAAUUCAGCAAAAUUUUGACCAAAGUAGUCUUAGUGAGGAGUCACAAAAUUUU